ACUCAACAGAUAAUUCUUUAAAGAGGGUGAGUCUAAGUUGUAAAAGCGCGCCGUUCCCGUAAGGGACUACGGAUUCUUGAUCAGCUUGUUAGCCUUAAACUUGAUUUUAAGGAGUUU
rnacentral:sRNA from 1 species